rnacentral:lncRNA from 1 species
AGCGUGGUGCCGUCACGCCAAUUGAACGUAACAAUUAUUGAGGUAACAAUGAGUACCUGCGUUUUUUGCAAAACAAAGCAAUCAAAAUAUUGUGGGCGAUCAUUUCACAAAUUUCCCGUGAAAGAUGUGUUCCGCCUUCAGCAGUGGUUAAAAAAAAUGAAGAGGAAGGACUGGAAGCCAAACCGAAAUAGUACAUUGUGUUCAGCUCAUUUUACAAACGACUGCUUUGAUAGGAC